CUUACGUUAGGUCGGGACGGUGGNGUACGACGNGGUACGUACGCCCUUGCACUGGGGGAUAACACUUAGAAAUAGGUGCUAAUACCGCAUAAGCGCACGGUCCUGCAUGGGACAGUGUGAAAAACUCCGGUGGUGCAAGAUGGACCCGCGUCUGAUUAGCUGGUUGGCGGGGUAAAGGCCCACCAAGGCGACGAUCAGUAGCCGGCCUGAGAGGGUGGACGGCCACAUUGGGACUGAGACACGGCCCAAACUCCUACGGAAGGCAGCAG
rnacentral:rRNA from 1 species